rnacentral:snRNA from 1 species
GGAUGUGAGGGCGAUCUGGCUGCGACCUCUGUUAUCUCAUUGAUCUCCAGGGUUGAUCUGACUGAUCCGGCUGUUUAGUGGGUGUCCCCUUCCUCCCUCAACACCCUAUGUGUGUCUUUCCCGAAGUUGCAUGCUCCAUGGAGAAGGAGGACCUUCUUCCGUCAAGGACAUACGAGCAGCCACACUCCCCUCCUAGAACCUCCAAACAAGCUCUCAAGAUGUAUAGCAUAAUGACAUGACUUGCUGUGCAUCAUGAAAUGAUUACAAUAAGUUUAGUGAACAUCCAU